AUGGCAUAAGCUAGCCUGACUGUGAGUCUGACAAGACGAGCAGAGACGAAAGUCGGUCAUAGUGAUCCGGUGGUCCCGAGUGGAAGGGCCAUCGCUCAACGAAUAAAAGGUACUCCGGGGAUAACAGGCUGAUGAUUUCCACGCGUCCAUAGCGACGAAAUCGUUUGGCACCUCGAUGUCGGCUCAUCACAUCCUGGGGCUGGAGAAGGUCCCAAGGGUUCGGCUGUUCGCCGCUUAAAGUGGUACGUGAGCUGGGUUUAGAACGUCGUGAGACAGUUCGGUCCCUAUCUGCCGUGGGUGUAGGAAGUUUGAGAGGAUCUGCCUUUAGUACGAGAGGACCGAGGUGGACGUACCCCUGGUGGACCAGUUGUCGUGCCAACGGCACAGCUGGGUAGCUAAGUACGGAAGGGAUAACCGCUGAAUGCAUCUAAGCAGGAAACCAACCUCAAAACUAGACUUCCCUAUUAGAGCCGUGGAAGACCACCACGUUGAUAGGUCGGGUGUGGAAGCACAGUAAUGUGUGUAGCUAACCGAUACUAAUAGCUCGAUUGAUUUACUUUG
rnacentral:rRNA from 1 species